CUACUGGGGUUUCUAAUCCUGUUUGCUACCCACGCUUUCGAGCCUCAGCGUCAGUUACAGACCAGAGAGUCGCCUUCGCCACUGGUGUUCCUCCAUAUAUCUACGCAUUUCACCGCUACACAUGGAAUUCCACUCUCCUCUUCUGCACUCAAGUCAACCAGUUUCCAAUGACCCUCCCCGGUUGAGCCGGGGGCUUUCACAUCAGACUUAAUUGACCGCCUGCGCUCGCUUUACGCCCAAUAAAUCCGGACAACGCUUGCCACCUACGUAUUACCGCGGCUGCUGGCAC
rnacentral:rRNA from 1 species